AAUAAUAAAAAGAACCAAGUGACAAUUCGCUGAAAGAACUGUAUUUGCCGGAAACAUUACUGUAGUUGUCGGAAAAAUCACUUUAGAUGCCGGAAAAAAUUCAAAGUGGUCGGAACUGAAAAGUAAAAAUAUGGGUAGGCUCGGAAAAGUGAGGCGAUCCAACUGUUCUCAAGAAAUUUUUCCAAAAAGUGGCCGGAAAGAGGCUCACGCGCCGGCGCGUGGGGGUCACGCGCUCGCCGGAAAAUUUGUUCUGCCGGCGCGUGUGGGUGCGUGGCAGCUUGUCUGCCGGAGAUAUUUUACAGGGUUGG
rnacentral:lncRNA from 1 species